UUGUAGGAUAUGUUUGUGUUACUAGUUGUUGGUGAAAACUUAUAGGAAAUGCAGUUCCCCCCCCGGGAUCGUUCAGGAACAAACACUUGGCAGCAUUCACAUCACAGCUCAUGGAAGCCACCCUGUCAAAACAGCCCUGCGCGAGGGGCACCCGGGCCCAGAGGCCAAAGCCCCAAGGAGAAGUGAAACACCUUUUUUUAAAAAUCACAUAACAUGAAAAAAAAGAACUGUAGCGCAUCGAGAGUCAACACUGCAGUUUCGUAUUUUAUUUCCUCUCGCUGGGGACAGACUGUUUGGCAGGCAGAGUGUCUGUCACCUAGGUGACGGCUAGACUGCCAGCCGGCUCCAGGCCACAGGGACUGAGAGCCCAGGCCCCGGCCUGCGCCUGCCGAUCUCCUCUCCUCUCCCGACCAGGAAAGUGCCAGGGAGAAAGAAGCACCGAGAAAUGAAGAGGUGGCUCCGAACCUUGACAAACUCUUGCAGAACUUGAAAAGGAGCCCGUCGGAGAUCCGAGCUGCCCGACCUACCGUGCCAUCUCCACCCGUUGCUGGCUCGGCGUGGUUCCCAGGGGCAAAGGGCUUUCGGAGGAGGAGACUCCAGAGGCUCAGGGAGGAGAGGAAACACAUCGAAGGCAGAAAUCAACACUAGCCAGCCCAGCGGACAGGAUGGACAGCAGACAGCUCCAGGGACCGCAGUCAGCUGGGAGAGGGAUUCGCUUCAUGAGGACCAUUACAAAUAACAGGUGAGCUUAUCUCUGAGAUAUACGUUAUACAUAAACUAUAUGUACUGUAUAUGGUAUAUAUCACACAUCUGUGUGCAUUAUAUUAUAUAUAAUUGUACACAUAUAGAAUACAUUAUUUGCAUACAUAUAUCUGUAUGUGUGUGUAUAAACAUACAUACAUAUAUAUAUACACAUAUUAGCAUUUCUAACUCAAUGCAUAAAUUUGUCCAAGUCAGGAAACAAGGAAUUCUGUAGUGGCUUUGCCCACAGAGGUCUGGAGCACUCUGGAAAUCUUAUUAGCCCCUCCUAGCAUUUCCCAAUUGUAGCACCUCAGACUUAAAGAGACAGAGUUUUUCAAGGAACAUAGCUAUGUACCUGAUUUUUUCUUUUUUUAAUAUUUUUUAUAGUUGUAUACAAUACCUUUAUUUUGUUUAUUUAUUUUUAUGUGGUGCUGAGGAUCGAACCCAGGGCCUCACACAUGCUAGGCGAGUGCUCUACUGCUGAGCCACAACCCCAGUCCUGUACCUGAUUCUUUUGCACACUACCGUAUCAGGGUGGACACGUGUCACGUGUAGGCAUUUCUCUGUAUAAUACUGAUUCACAUCUAUUAUGAGGCUGGGUGUUUUUUGUUUGUUUGGUUGGUUUUGAUACCAGGGAUGGAACCCAGGGGCACUUAACCACUUGGCUACAUCCCUGCCCUUUUUACAUUUUCUUUUGAGACAGAGUU